CCCUCGCCAGCAGCGACUACGGUCACUAGUUUCUUCUAUAUUCUUCCAGAGACAUUUUAUCCACGGAUGCCCGCUUACGUGUGUUUUCCACACACAGCGUUUUCUACACCAAUAGCACCACCCGACACUCACUGUCCCGCACCCCGCGUUUUGCCCUGACCCUCGGGGACACCCUCACAGCAGCAUCAGCACUUACAGGUCAACCCCCGCUAACCGACCACGCCACAGCGCUCCCCAGCAGGCGUGCCAUCAGGUACUUAACCGUCUCCUACUGAUGAUGGACACCUGUUUCCACACUUGGCUACUGCGAGACAAUCAUUAUUUCGCACGUCCGAGCACCUGUGCGAAGAAUGAGCAUCUAGAAGCUUCCCUGCUCAAUCAAAGAGGGCACUCCUUCCUUGAUUCAAGGAAAGACAGAAGAAGUUAAACGUAUUGUGGAGUCCUGCCUGUUGAAGCAAAGAAAUGCCUUUUGCUACAUAAUGAAAAGUGAGUCCCAAAUCAACCCCCAUUACCGUCCAUACCAGGGCUUGCUUCCCAAAGCCUUUCUCCAAAUCCUUGUAUAAUUUCUCUUUGUGCUCUUCUAGACUGGACUGGGCCAAAAAUACUCAAGACCCUCGGAUUGCAGUAGGUUCCCAGUCCCCAUUAGAAAAGAAGAUUAAGGUGGUGUCCAUUCUUCAGAAGUGAUGAAACUAUUAGCCUAAAAGAUUCAACAGGAGAAUGAAACACUUCUUCAACUUAAGGCCAUGUCUUUUGACUUCUGGUUUGCCCAAGCAGAGGCAUACUACUAUCAACACUACCAGGGAGUGAUGCUGGAAAAAGCAUGCAAAUACAAAAUAGUUCCAGAAUGGGAAAUUAAAAUAGAGGAAGAGAAAAAGAGACCACAAAAUGAGAAAACAGAAGAUGCUAAAAAAUGAUACUAUUUAGUGCCUGAGAGAGCGCUGAACCAGAUACGGAAACACGUAUACCGAGCCGAACAAGCCAGAGGCCUCAGAGACCACAAGUAUCGACUACUCCCUCAAGGAAUCUCAAAUGAAAUACCUUCCCCCAAAGUAUUAACACUGGAGACUAAUGAAAACACUGAAAAUAUCCAGAAAACACACAAAACUAAGACCAAAAAGCACAGGGUGGCCUGGGCAAAGAAACAGAUAAAGGGACAUCAAGAUCAAAUGACCUGAGGGAGAGAACUCACAGAGCAAAGCAAUGGUCGACGAGGUGCCCAGAAACUCUCUACGCAAGCUCCCCCUUUCCUGAAAUCUCAAGAGGAGAAAGAGGAAGUAAAAGAAUUUGAAUGGGUCACGGCCUAUCCAACUGUCCAGCCUUACCAGGAAGCACGUAUGGAAGUGACUAUUCUGAUGGAAAAGUCAAAAAGAAGAGGAUAAAAUUGCAAAACCACUCCGAAGAGAGCUCUUGAGUAUACCACCAUUUCUGAGAAGUCAACUAGAAAAACAGAAAGUUUAAAUUAUUUUCUAGAUUGUAUUUCUUUUUUAGGC